UCAUAGCUGCGCCUGUCAUGCAAGCAACAGCUCUCCUCUGGUACUGCCUGAUUCCCCGAGGGAAGGCUCCUUGUUGGCCUUUGUCUUUUAACUGCCAGCCCCUCCCAGAUCCUCAGCUGGAGGCAGUGACAGGGCCACAGGUGUCCCUAAGAGCAAGGCCACCAAGCAUAUCCACCAAGAGGUACAGAGAGAGGAGCCAAACACCUCUGGGGGUUCCAGGCUAGCGGAUUCUGGCUCUCUAAAAGCUCCCCUGUGGGGAGCAGAUGCCCACAUAGGCAGAGGUUGGCCCCUCAAGGCCACACUCACGCUUAUGGACUCAUAUAUUUGUUGUCCUGCUGGCAAAACCCCUCUGAGGACUCAGAACUCCUUCAUAUACACCCUGGAGGUUGACGCCACAGAACAAGGCUUUCAGUUCUGACACAGUAUGACCAGCUGUCUGAUGCUCCUGCUGCCACGCUUAUCCCACCGUGAUGGGCUGUGCCCCUUCAAACUAGCAGCAUUGAUCCAGCAAGGUGCUUCUGACCCAAGAACAGAGAAGCCUGACUGUUCACACAUGGAAAGCACGGCCUGAGAUAAAGUGCUGCAGCCAGAUAAGAGGUAUCAUAACCGAGGGAGCAUUAUAGAUUUGAGGAGAGGUCUGGCACUAGGGAGAUUUCCAGAGUUCUACAAGGAUGACACAACUGGCAAUCUAAGCAAUAAUGGAAAGGCUACUUUAAAUGCCCUUCCCUGGAUAAUGAGAUUGAUGACUGCCUUAUAUGCCACCCUAGAGCCUUCAUCCAGUGGCUAAUGAAAGCAGAGGCAGACACCCACAGCUAAACACUGAACUGAAUUCCUGGAACCCAGUUGCAGAGAGGGAGGAGUGAAGAGCAAAGGGGUCAAGACCAAGCUGGUGAAACCCACAGAAACAGCUAACUUGAACAAGGGGGAGCUCAUGGACCCCAGACUGAUGGCUGGAGGCCAGCAUGGGACUGACCCAGACCCAUUAAAUGUGGGUGUCAGUGAGGAGGCCUCGGCAAUCUAUGGGGCCUCUGGUAGUAGACCAGUAUUUAUCCCUGAUGUAUGAAUGGACUUUGGGAGCCCAUUCCAUGUGGAGGGAUGCUCUCAGCCUGGACACAUAGGGGAGAGCCUAGGCCCUGCCCUGGAUGAUAUGGCAGACUUUGGGGGAUACCCCAUGGAGGACCUCACCCUCCCUGGGGAGCAGAGGGAGGAUGGGAGUGUUGUUGGGGGUGAGGGGGAGGGGAGGGAGAGGGAGCUGGGAUUGACAUGUGAAGCAGG
rnacentral:lncRNA from 1 species